rnacentral:rRNA from 1 species
AGAGUUUGAUCCUGGCUCAGGACGAACGCUGGCGGCGUGCCUAAUACAUGCAAGUCGAGCGAAUCUUUGGGAGCUUGCUCCCAAAAGUUAGCGGCGGACGGGUGAGUAACACGUGGGCAACCUGCCUAUAAGACUGGGAUAACUUCGGGAAACCGGAGCUAAUACCGGAUAAUUCAUAUCUACUCAUGUAGAUAUGCUGA